UUGGGGUUGCGGACAUAUCAUAACGAAGAGGUAUCGUAAUUGAAGAGGUUUGGAAAGACCCACCACAGAAGGUAAUAGUCCUGUAUGUUAAACGAGAAGACUUUAGAUAUGAUCCAGAGUACCACGGGACACGUGAAACCCUGUGGGAAGCAGGAGGGACCACCCGCCAAGGCUAAAUACUACCUAGUGAACGAUAGCGUAUAGUACCGUGAGGGAAAGGUGAAAAGAACCCCGGGAGGGGAGGGAAAAAGAACAUGAAACACUGCACUGACAGGCGGUAGAGGCACAUUUCUUGUGUGACCGCGUAAGUUUUGUAGAAAGGGCCAAGGAGUUACGUUAAAGAGCAAGGUUAAGCACUUAAGGAGCGGAGCCGUAGCGAAAGCGAGUCUUAACUGAGCGUUCCGUUACUUGACGUAGACCCGAAACCGGGCGACCUACCCAUGAGCAGGAUGAAGCGAAAGUAAAAUUU
rnacentral:rRNA from 1 species